UUGAAGAAAACAUUGACAUGUUCCGGCUCUGGCGGAGUGGAUGACAUGCUAGUUGGUUGCCUUUGGCAGAAUGAUUAUCUUGUCACCGUGUCUCUUGGUGGCACAAUUAGCAUCUUUUCUGCAAGCGAUCUUGACAAAAGUCCACGACAAAUAUCUGGACAUAUGAAGAAUGUUACAUCGUUAGCUGUGCUUAAAAAUGUCCCAAAAACUAUAUUAUCCAGCAGUUAUGAUGGUUUGAUAGUUAAAUGGAUUCAAGGCAUUGGAUACAACUGUAAAUUACAGAGGAAAGAGAGUUCUCAAAUCAAAUGUUUAGCUGCUGUUGAAGAAGAAAUUGUUACAUCUGGAUUUGAUAAUAAGAUUUGGAGAGUGCAUUUUCAAGGGGAUCAAUGUGGAGAUGCCAAUUCCAUUGACAUUGGCUGUCAGCCAAAAGACUUGAGUCUUGCCCUUCUCUGUCCCGAACUUGCUUUGAUCACAAUUGAUUCAGGUGUUGUCAUACUCCGUGGUACAAAAGUAAUGUCAACCAUCAAUCUUGGUUAUGCAGUGACAGCAUCUGCAAUCUCACCUGAUGGAAGUGAAGCAAUCAUAGGCGGGCAGGAUGGUAAAUUGCAUGUAUAUUCUAUUACAGGUGAUACUCUUAAGGAAGAAGCAGUCCUUGAGAAACAUCGAGGGGCUAUCAGUGUUAUACGUUACUCUCCAGAUGUUUCAAUGUUUGCAUCUGGUGAUGCAAAUAGAGAAGCUAUUGUUUGGGAUCGUGUCUCCAGAGAGGUGAAGCUGAAGAACAUGUUAUACCAUACUGCCCGCAUAAACUGCCUUGCUUGGUCUCCUGAUAGCAGCAUGGUUGCUACAGGUUCACUUGACACUUGUGUCAUUAUAUAUGAAGUGGACAAGCCUGCAUCUAGUCGGAUGACCAUAAAGGGAGCUCACUUGGGUGGGGUUUAUGGAUUAGCUUUCACUGGUGAGCUCAGUUUAGUAAGCUCUGGUGAGGAUGCCUGUAUUCGAGUUUGGAGAUUAAGCCCACAGUGAUUCUGAUUGAUGAAGGUUAUCACGAAGAUACUAGGUUAAAAAACAAUAAAGUUUGGUGAGUGUGCUGGAUUAUUUUGGACUUCUGUUUGUUGUGGACUUGGGUUGUAUUGUGGUUGGAGAUAGUUUGAAGAAUAGGCAUAGUCACGAAGAUUAGACUGCCCUUUGUUGUUGUCAUACUAUGUUGGAAGUGACCAUCUUCAAACACCAGUUUGAUUGAGAGUGUAUGAUUUAUUCUCUUUUAGUAGCUCGGAUUUGGUGUUCUUUUCACAUGGCAGGUGAUUGAAGUAGGGAAAUGUCUGUAAUAUUGUAUUUUAUGCGCAUGUCUUCAUCCAAUGGAAGUUGGCAGAAAUUCCAUGCCGAUUUUACGACGGAUAUCCAGGGAUUUAAGCCGUAGAAAAUAGUAUGCUGCAAUGAAACAACCAUGAACAGACUACAGUGGUUGAAGUGGUGAAGUGAGCUUUUCCUUUUGGUUGUGAUAGGAUUAUUGACGCUACCAUAUUGCUCCAAUUUUUUUUUUUUUCUUUCUGGUGAUGGUGCUAGUGACUGUUGUGAUAUUAGGUAUUGUUCGUGACGCUAGCAUAUUGCUCCAAUUUUUUUUUUGGCUUUCUGGUGAUGGUGCUAGUGAAUGUUGUGAUAUUAGGUAUUGUUCGUAAUAGUUAUGGUAAGCGUGUGAUGAGAUGUAUUUUAGUUGUUGUGUAGCUGGUGUGGUAUGUAUUAAACUCUUGUUUUAUCAUCCUCUUAAUUUUCUGUCAUUGAAUUGUCUGCCAAUUCAGGCUGUUCUAAACCAAACCUUUUUGGUCUGGAGAUCUGGGAA
rnacentral:misc_RNA from 1 species